UACGUAGGGGGCAAGCGUUGUCCGGAAUCAUUGGGCGUAAAGAGCGUGUAGGCGGUUCGGUAAGUCGGCUGUGAAAGUCCAGGGCUCAACCCUGGGAUGCCGGUCGAUACUGCCGGACUAGAGUUCGGAAGAGGCGAGUGGAAUUCCCGGUGUAGCGGUGAAAUGCGCAGAUAUCAGGAGGAACACCAAUUGCGAAGGCAGCUCGCUGGGACGUAACUGACGCUGAGACGCGAAAGCGUGGGGAGCAAACAGG
rnacentral:rRNA from 1 species